UACGGGGGGGGCAAGCGUUGUUCGGAAUUACUGGGCGUAAAGGGCUCGUAGGCGGCUUGCCAAGUCAGGGGUGAAAUCUUUCGGCUUAACCGGAAAAGUGCCUUUGAUACUGGUAAGCUUGAGGGAGGUAGGGGCAUGUGGAACUUCCGGUGGAGCGGUGAAAUGUGUUGAUAUCGGAAGGAACGCCGGUGGCGAAAGCGACGUGCUGGACCUCUUCUGACGCUGAGGCGCGAAAGCUAGGGGAGCGAACGGG
rnacentral:rRNA from 1 species